CUAUGAGUCCCUAUGGUCCCUAUUGGGUCUCAAUGGGUCCCUAUGGGUCUCAAUGGGUCCCUAUGGUCCCUAUGGGUCUCAAUGGGUCCCUAUGAGUCCCUAUGGUCCCUAUGGGUCUCAAUGGGUCCCAAUGUGUCCCAAUGGGUCCCAUACGUGUCCGUGCCCCCCCAGGCGACUCCCUGAGCUACCACCACGGGUCCCUAUGUGUCCCUAUGGGUCCCUAUGCAUCUCAGUGGGUCUCUAUGGCUCUCAAUGGGUCCCUAUGGGUCUCAGUGGGUCCCUAUGGUCCCUAUGGCUCUCAAUGGGUCCCUAUGAGUCCCUAUGGUCCCUAUUGGGUCUCAAUGGGUCCCUAUGGGUCUCAAUGGGUCCCUAUGGUCCCUAUGGGUCUCAAUGGGUCCCUAUGAGUCCCUAUGGUCCCUAUGGGUCUCAAUGGGUCCCAAUGUGUCCCAAUGGGUCCCAUACGUGUCCGUGCCCCCCCAGGCGACUCCCUGAGCUACCACCACGGGUCCCUAUGUGUCCCUAUGGGUCCCUAUGGUCUCAAUGGGUCCCUAUGGAUCUCAAUGGGUCCCUAUGCAUCCCAAUGGGUCUCUAUGGGUCUCAAUGGGUCCCUAUGGCUCUCAAUGGAUCCCUAUGGUCCCUAUGGGUCUCUAUGCAUCCCAAUGGAUCCCUAUGGAUCUCAAUGGGUCCCUAUGCAUCCCAAUGGGUCCCUAUGGGUCUCAAUGGGUCCCUAUGGGUCUCAAUGGGUCUCAAUGGGUCCCUAUGGUCCCUAUGGGUCUCAAUGGGUCCCUAUGGGUCUGAAUGGAUCCCUAUGGUCCCUAUGUGUCCCUAUGGUCCCUAUGGGUCUGAAUGGAUCCCUAUGGUCCCUAUGUGUCCCUAUGUGUCCCUAUGGGUCCCUAUGCAUCUCAGUGGGUCCCUAUGGGUCUCAAUGGGUCCCUAUGGUCCCUAUGCAUCCCUAUGUGUCCCAAUGGGUCCCAUAUGUGUCCGUGCCCCCCCAGGCGAUUCCCUGAGAUACCACCACGGGUCCGUAUGGGUCCCUAUGGGUCCCUAUGG
ensembl:lncRNA